GGUCGGCUCCCCCCGGCAGCAGGCUAGGCUGCGCUGUGCGCCCGGCGGCCGCAGGAGGAGGCGCCGCGCUGGGGCUCGGGGGCCCGCGCGCCCAGGACGCAGGUCAGGUGUAGUACAGAUCACUGAAGUGAUUAUAUGUCCAUGUACUUCAUGAGAUCUAAGGAAACUACUCCUCAGAAUGAAGUGUUUCAGUUUACAUGCUGCUUCAGUUAUAUAUCUAUAUGCAGACAAUGCAAACUAGGUUUGUUCUUCCUAAUUGGAUUUUUCCAGUUCUGUUGGAUGUUUACUAUAGCUAUGGCAACAAGAGUAGAGAUCAACUCUGCUCUAGCAUCCUUAACAACAAUACCUGAUUUAAAUGAA